rnacentral:rRNA from 1 species
GGGGUGUGACUGCGUACCUUUUGUAUAAUGGGUCAGCGACUUAUAUUCUGUAGCAAGGUUAACCGUAUAGGGGAGCCGGAGGGAAACCGAGUCUUAACCGGGCGUUAAGUUGCAGGGUAUAGACCCGAAACCCGGUGAUCUAGCCAUGGGCAGGUUGAAGGUUGGGUAACACUAACUGGAGGACCGAACCGACUAAUGUUGAAAAAUUAGCGGAUGACCUGUGGCUGGGGGUGAAAGGCCAAUCAAACCGGGAGAUAGCUGGUUCUCCCCGAAAGCUAUUUAGGUAGCGCCUCGUGAAUUCAUCUCCGGGGGUAGAGCACUGUUUCGGCUAGGGGGCCAUCCCGGCUUACCAACCCGAUGCAAACUGCGAAUACCGGAGAAUGUUAUCACGGGAGACACACGGCGGGUGCUAACGUCCGUCGUGAAGAGGGAAACAACCCAGACCGCCAGCUAAGGUCCCAAAGUCAUGGUUAAGUGGGAAACGAUGUGGGAAGGCCCAGACAGCCAGGAUGUUGGCUUAGAAGCAGCCAUCAUUUAAAGAAAGCGUAAUAGCUCACUGGUCGAGUCGGCCUGCGCGGAAGAUGUAACGGGGCUAAACCAUGCACCGAAGCUGCGGCAGCGACGCUGAUGCGUUGUUGGGUAGGGGAGCGUUCUGUAAGCCUGCGAAGGUGGCCUGUGAGGGUUGCUGGAGGUAUCAGAAGUGCGAAUGCUGACAUAAGUAACGAUAAAGCGGGUGAAAAGCCCGCUCGCCGGAAGACCAAGGGUUCCUGUCCAACGUUAAUCGGGGCAGGGUGAGUCGACCCCUAAGGCGAGGCCGAAAGGCGUAGUCGAUGGGAAACGGGUUAAUAUUCCCGUACUUGGUGUUACUGCGAAGGGGGGACGGAGAAGGCUAUGUUGGCCGGGCGACGGUU